UAAUACGGAGGGGGCAAGCGUUAUUCGGAAUUAUUGGGCGUAAAGGGCGCGUAGGCGGCCCUGUAAGUCAAAGGUGAAAGCCCUCGGCUCAACCGGGGAACUGCCUUUGAUACUGCAAGGCUCGAGGCCGGGAGAGGGUGGUGGAAUUCCCAGUGUAGCGGUGAAAUGCGUAGAUACUGGGAGGAACACCCGUGGCGAAGGCGGCCACCUGGACCGGAUCUGACGCUGAGGCGCGAAAGCGUGGGGAGCAAACAGG
rnacentral:rRNA from 1 species